UACGAAGGGGGCUAGCGUUGCUCGGAAUCACUGGGCGUAAAGGGUGCGUAGGCGGGUCUUUAAGUCAGGGGUGAAAUCCUGGAGCUCAACUCCAGAACUGCCUUUGAUACUGAAGAUCUUGAGUUCGGGAGAGGUGAGUGGAACUGCGAGUGUAGAGGUGAAAUUCGUAGAUAUUCGCAAGAACACCAGUGGCGAAGGCGGCUCACUGGCCCGAUACUGAUGCUGAGGUGCGAAAGCGUGGGGAGCAAACAGG
rnacentral:rRNA from 1 species